GGUUGUAGCCCUGUGCAGGCGGGUUUAAUCCCGUCCUUAUCAU
rnacentral:tRNA from 1 species